UGGUCACCUCUAUACCAGGUCAUGUAAAUGUAAGUAGAAUACGAGUAUAUUACUGAAAGUUCUGGGUGAUCUGAGCUAAUAAUACUUUACAUUAUUAUGCUUAGGGUCAACACCGCUCAUGCAUGCUGAUAAAUUUCAACUUCCGGGAGAAUUCGGGUUCGUACAUAUCACGAUUCUUACACUUCUUUUGCGAUGGUUUUCCUUGGGUUGACUGUUCUGGUACUUUUCAUUGUCAAACUGGCGGCUAAGAACAUAAAUUCUUGUCAGAAGAAAGCCAGAGUACCAAACAUAACUCAGCCAGAAGUCUGUGUCCCACUCCAGCAUCAUAUUCUCAGCGAAGACUUGGCCACUAAAUCUCAUAUCGGCAUCGAAUGAAUCUGCUAUAAAAAUAACGAAAUAAAAACACGUUUCAGCAAAUGCCGAAAGGCUGAAAAUCUGACGGAGAAUGUCUACAAAGUAACUGGCCUUACAAUAUUAUUAUUUUUGGAUGAAAAAAUUAUCUAUGGUAGACAUCUCAAAACAGGAAGUAGUGGAAAACUUCGUUGACGACAAUGCAAUCCAGCUGAAUUACGUUGUAAAUUGUGUGCCAAAAUAUCUUCAGUAUCUGUUUUUUUUUCUUUAUUUUGUGUAUCACACUCCAAGUCGCACCCGAAUGCAUGUCCUUCAAUCAGGUAGCCUCUUCUGUUCAAUUCUGGCUUCACUUCAUUUCAAGCCUCACUUGGACCAAGUUUAAGAGUAAAGGCUUACUUUUAUUAUAUUUAUAGGUUAGACGACAUUGUCGCUGUCAACAUGGCCAGCAACUUGUAACCUAUACACUUUGUUUGAUCAACAAUAAAUAAUGACUUA